AUGAACAUAGUAACUGAUUUUGCAAGUUAACGUUUGUUCAGUUGACUGCAUAAGAAUAACCUUAAUGUUUGUUGCUCUAGAUAUAUUUCAAAAACCCGGGACACGACUGCUAAUGAAGAAACUUCCGGCAGUUCCGGGUUUGGUAUAUACCACGUGGUGAUUGUUGUCAGUUCUACUUAGAGGAUAGUGAGGUUAGCUUCCUAUUUUUCGACAGUAAAUUGCAGAAGUGAAUUGUAGCUAUUGAAUUGAAGCAUUAUUAUUACAUCGAAUCAAAUCAUGACGUCAUCCUCUUUUCCAGGUAGCACUUUGCCAGGGGAAAUCAAACAUAAAAUUAAAUAUGUGUUGUUCUAUAUAGGGUGUUGUUUUCAAGGCAUUAGAAGAUGAACUGUAGUGGUACAAUAACGCCUUAUAGGUUCUUAAUUUGUUUUCCGACGUUUUGUUAAGAUAUGAUCAUAGUAUGAAAAACUUCUAUUUUUAAGUUUAUAUGCCAAUGAAUAGGCACAGACAAAUCCUCAUCAGACACAUUCCAUUAAAGUGUAUAUUUAUUUGAAAAAUAGAUGAAUCUCAGGGGAUUAGACAAUGUAAACUCCCGCUCCUAUCUUUAAAUUUAAAUAAAACAAAUUGUUUCAGAUA